ACUGCUCAGCAGACAAACUUAGUGAUUAGCUGGUGUACAUAGGGGAGCAUUUAGCUGCUAAAGAGCCACAUAUUUUCUUCAGGAGUUGGUGCAGAACAAAACAAAGCUAAAGGCAAAGUAAACAUGUUUCAG